UCCGUAGGCGGAUAGAUAAGUCAGAGGUGAAAUCCUGCAGCUCAACUGUAGAAUUGCCUUUGAUACUGGUUAUCUUGAGUCAUUAUGAAGUGGUUAGAAUGUGUAGUGUAGCGGUGAAAUGCAUAGAUAUUACACAGAAUACCGAUUGCGAAGGCAGAUCACUAAUAAUGUACUGACACUGAGGGACGAAAGCGUGGGGAGCGAACAGGAUUAGAUACCCUGGUAGUCC
rnacentral:rRNA from 1 species